GACAACGUGGCCGAGCGGUUAAGGCGAUUGACUAGAAUCUGCGUUCUAAGACCCAGCAUUUGGUGUCUAUCAUCAAUUGGGAUUUUCCCGCGUAGGUUCAAAUCCUGCCGUUGUCG
rnacentral:tRNA from 1 species